GACCUCGGAUCAGGUAGGAAUACCCGCUGAACUUAAGCAUAU
rnacentral:rRNA from 7 species